AACUUAAGCAUAUCAAUAAGCGGAGGAA
rnacentral:rRNA from 3 species